UCCUUGCAUAUGUCAAGUGUGUCAUCAAUAGCAACAUUUAUUUACCAGGGCCUUCAUUUGUGUGGAUAGUGUCAGGGCCGUGUAUAUCAACUUACUCUUUCCUUUUCCACAAAUGAUGGGCUUUUCUUUUGUUGUGCUUUGAAAUAAUACACAACAGUAGUUCCUCAUAAAAUAAUUAUAAUAUACCUAAUAUUUGGAUGGUGUUAAUGUCAUCAUUAAGUUCAGUAUUUUUAAACUAGCCCUCUGGAAUUACGGCAAUUCAUUUUCGACAUAAUUUCAUCCCCAUUUUGAGUCAUUGCGUCCACCUUUAAAUGAAACAAACUUUGCUAAGCUUAUGUUCAUCUAAAAUGUGGUAUCAAUUAGGAAAAACGUAGAAACAUGCUUACGAAAAUGGAAAUGUGUGCCUUUUUUUUUAGUUCUACCACGGUGCGCCCCGUUCCACUGACGCUGUUGACAGCGGACUCGCUCAUCUUCCUCUUGUUAUGCCACUGCUGUGUCCUCCGAAUAUUAUGUUUUUAUGGGCCUCCAGCUCUCCAGGACUGUUUUGUGAACAUGGGCCAAUACGAAGCUGGACUCUCCGCCAAACUGUUGCUGAAGUCCGACACCUUUCCAACGUUACUCGGUCGUGUUGAAGAGUCAGAAGAGCAAGCAGUGGUUCGGCAGCUGUCCGGAAGUUCUUGGGGGAGCUUGGGAGUGUGACCAAUCACAGAAGAGUGGACUCGGCGGGAGGCGAACCUAGAGGAGGGCACAGACCAUUUGGGCGGCAGGCAGGAAACACUGCACGAAGAGGUGCAGUGUGUGGAAGAUAUAGUAAGCUUUCUGUGCAGGCUAUCGUGUAGGUGCUGUAUAGGAGUCCAGAACUCAAUACAAAGGACCGAAACUUUGUAUAAUAGGUCCCCUUUAAGGACCUCUGAAACAAGCCAGCCUCUCUGUGUGUUGUUAGCUUGAAAUAACAGUAUUGGUUCGGAACCCGUCCACGAAACUCUCACUUCCUGCAGAGUCCCUGGGUGACGGCCACAGACAGACACAGGGAGUCAUUCCAUGGGUCGAGGUGAUAUCUCACCGGGCCUGUUUGGAAAACCCUGGCCUCAGCUCGCAUGUGCAGUCAAGCGUCGGCAAUCAGGCGUGGUUUACACCAUAAACCGCUUUGAAGGCGGCCGCUGCGUGAAAAUGUUUGUUGUGUGCGCUCAUCUGCCAAAAGUCCUACAGGAAUCCACGACGAGCUUCCUAGCCGUCAAUACAGCCCCUUUUGGGAAUACAAAAAGUGUUUGCUCAACCCUUAAAAAGACAUGUUUGGAUCACAGGACACUUCAUUAGGCACAAUCUAAGCCAGUGCAACAGCUGUGUUAUUGUUGUUAGUGCGGUGUCUAAUAUUUUGGUACGCUUAAAAGGCUCAAAACAUGAUGUUGUGCAUUUGUAUGUAUUGUGUUGUAUUGUAUAAUAAACUUGUUAAACACGGCAUACAGUCAUGUGAAAAAAACCUUCUACUCCUGAAGCAUUGUAAACAAAAGGGUGAAAAUUUGUCAAAACACGUACCCCUAAGGUGUUGCCUGUGCCAUUAUUUUUCAGACAAAUACAACUCAUGGUGGCGCUGUUAUUAUGCCCUGUGACUUGAAAUUUCUCACAUGCAUCAACACACUCUACAAAAACACCUACAGUAACUUUUCAGUGUUUAGCCAAAUCACUGUGAAGUACGGUACACACCUUUAGGGCACUGUCGAGGGCAUGUGUGUAAAAUUUGAUGUGUAUUUGAAAUGAAAGUGUUUUGUGGGAGGUCUGCUGUGUGUAUAUAUAGACUUACAUGCCAGUUGGGCACCGUUGCAAAGAUCAUAAAUAACAAGGAUCAUGCUCAUAUUGAAUGCAUUUUGAGGUGCUACGUUUAAGGACCCUCUGGAGGCUGUAAUUUCGGGCGCUGCUCAAAUUUGCUUGUUUAAUUUCCAUCCCGUGUUUGCCAAAUCUGGUCUACGUUAAGAGCGCUCCUUGAGGAAACCCUCUGUCGACGACUUAAGAACAAGCCGAGGUUAUCUUCAAGGUUGUCUCAAUGCCAUAUGGAGUCAUGCUAUUUAUUAAAAACCGUAGGAUGUGCAAUAACAGCAUAGGCAUCACAUGGAAAAGGGCAUGUAUGAGCAUGUAGAGUACAUGUGAAACUAAUUAGGCUUCCAUUUAACCACCAUAACGACACACUGUGGUACUUUUUUUCAACGCUGUCAAACACAAUGAAGUCAAUUGGAAUAACACAUCAUGAACAUGUUUCCACUCCUUCCGGAAAAAUCGUACAGUUCAAACAAGAUAAUUUCGUCAGAAAAAGCAUGGAAAGGUUUGUCUCGUUGAAAGUGUCAGAAUGGGGCCCCCAGUAAGGAAAGGAAGAUUUUAAAUGGUGGAUGGAGUGCUGGGUGAUCAUAGUAGAUCAUCUCCCAAGCCUUUUAAUCCACAAGACUAUGAUAAGACCCGACUGUGAUUUGUGUCUUUUUUGCCCUCCUGUCUGUUUGUCCUAUUUGAAGCGCUCCUUUUCUCCCAGCCUGAUGGGAACUGGAGGUCUGCGCAGCAUCUGGUUGACUUGGAAACAGCUGUGUUUUCCCACAUCUGACUGGGAGUUUAUAGCUGUUCCCGAGCAGGGCUGGAUCGACCGGGCCCGUUUGACCAAACAAAGCUUCCAGUUCACAUCUCUCGCUGGGAACAGAGACAUCCUUGUACUGUUGCCUGCAUCACCUCCAUGCUUGUCCCACAAGAUGGAACGCUCCCUGGAACUGGAGUCAUUCAACAUGGAAGACAGUCCCACAUUUGCCAUUUUUUUGUUCCAUUGAUGUUUCUGUCCUCAUGCUAAUGCACUCACCGGGCCACAACAUGAUCUCAUUCAGCUCCCUUGUGUUUUUUGCUUUUUCCUUGGCUUUUCGGGGGUUCUUUCUCUAACACUUCCAAAACUCCUAAAACGUCCACAUACAGUGUUAAGAGAAAAUUCAGAUUCAAAGCAGGGGUGUCCCAAUACUUGUGGUCACUAUCCCCGUAUGUGUUGUCAUGACAUCUCAGCCGUACCAGCUACACUCGCUGAUGUGGCUAACGAGCUAUGUUACCAGUUGGAUACUGGAGCGCUGCGGGAAUGACUGCUCUCUGUGACGUAUUAUAAUGAUUUCCCCAUCAUACGCUAAAAAUCCUUUUUUUGAUUUGUAUGCAUCGUAACGCCACUCCAAAUGAUACACGAAUACUUGACUUUAAAUAGAAGGAGUUUUAAAGCCAUUAAAAAAACAUGUACAUCAUGGCCAAUUAUGCUAAAUUGACAAUUCACAAAUAAAGAACACGAUAAUAAAAACAUGAUAAAAGCAUCUCUAUAGGAAACCAUUAUCGGUUUGCUUUUGGUAGCAGUUUUUAAGGAUUCCAUGCUUUAUUUGAUGUCACGAAUAGAUGGUCACAUAGAAUACAAGAAUGUGAAAUUAUCUUUUCAUUGUGUAAAUGAUCAUUUUGAUGAUGGUUAUCUAUCCAGUUUCUAAAGCCAGCAUUGCACACACAUAUAGACAAAUAACAUGACAAUGGAAUGUCUGGAAUUGAAUAGAAUUGUUGGGAAAACGAGAAAGUCACAAAAUUUAUAAAUUGUAUUAUUAUUAUUAUUAUUAUUAUUAUUAUUAUUAUUAUUAACUCUGUUCUUCUUGUGCAGUGUGAUAAGUGGCCAUUAGUAAUGUAGUCAAACCUGUCUUAGCAGCCACCUUUAUAGAACGGCCACCUGCCUAUAGCGGCCACUGAAAAAUCCCCCGCAGCAAAUUUACAUGUUAUAGACCCUGUGUAUAGCAGUCACCUGUCCAACGCGGCCAGCGGCCACCCAUUUUGUCUCCCUUGGUCAAUAUCUGACCGCAUAUAGCGGCCAAAUUACCAACUCAAGUAGAAGCUUCAUGCAUGAAAAAGUUUCGUUUUUCAAUCAAUGAAGCCGUCGUGUGUAGACUUUAAUUACUGAGUCCUAGCUCAGUCACAAUCAUUCACAAGAUCCACACAAACUGUCAGUUGUUCCACAUAAAAAAGCCGUCUUCUUUUGAGCUUGCUAUUUCCUGGUCAAACAUGUAACUUUAAGAGCAUUUGCACCAAAACAUUACCGCAAAGUAGGCUGGGAACAGGACGUGCUCCCAGCGACGCUACAAUAAAAAAAAACAUACGCUAGCAUGCAUGCGGCAGCAAAACUGAGUUCGGUUGUACUUAAUUGAAGUAUUUUAGAAUGUACUCACGUUAUUUUUCAUCAAUCCUCGUCCACAAAUCCAUCAAAGUCCUAAUCUUCUAUAUUCGACACAAACAAAGCCGUCUUCUUUUCCGUUCGCUACUAGUCUGUUAACUUGUCAGUGUUAUUCAGCUCCGAAGCAAAGAAGGAAACUUCUCCUGUUGCUUCUGCCAACUUUAUUUAUUGAACGCGGCCACCAGACAGCAGCUCAGAACACACACACAUCUCUCAGCAUCGUCUCUCCUUCCUGCUUGCCCACAAGGCAAAGGUUAAACAAGCCCCACUACAUAGCUGUCCAGGCAAUGCCUGUAAGAAAUGACACCGUUUAUUCCUGGUGUGCACUGGUCAAUACUGUAAUGCCGCUUGUUGUGGGGAAGGAGAGACUCACGUCGCCGAUGCACUUUAAUGGCUUUAUUAACAGCGGAGAACACUGCAGGACUUUACAUCCACGCCAACAUAAACACACUUCCCAACUCUCUCCAAACUCACAGCUAGCAUUAAGCCUAGCUCUCCUGCUUGGGACGCCCACCGUCACUUCCCGUCACUUCCUGAUGAACUAAAGCUGUAAUGACACUCUGCUGUAUAAAAAGUAAAAUAUAAAAAAGAAGCGUAAGACAUUACUAGCACAGCUUUGUUCUGUGGGUGGUGGAUAUAUUCUAUCAGUUAUUAUUAAGCCUCUAGCUUCCUUUUAGUAAGUAAAAACCUUGGCUAUGAUUGCACUACAUUGUCAUGUAGACCUACAAAGUACACUUGGAAGAACAAGAGGUGAAUAAAUGUAUUGCAACUGAUGUGAAACUGAUGAGGGGUAGGAUUAAAUAAGCUUUGCUUUUUCCUACUCCUUUUUGGACAUGCAAAAUUGUGAAUUGUACUAUGUGAUGUGCUACUGUUUGACUCAUAUGCAUGUUCAGGAUUAAAACCAUGAACCAUGAACCAUGAUAAUAACAAGCCUAGUAGUGCUGUACAACUUUUAUCUGCAGUCCGCAGUGUCCUCUACUGGUCAACAUUAUUAUUAUUAUUUUGUCCCUUUUUUUU